rnacentral:rRNA from 1 species
AGUGGGGGAUAACGUAGCGAAAGUUACGCUAAUACCGCAUAUGCCCUGAGGGGGAAAGGAGGGGAUCGCAAGACCUUUCGCUUUCGGAGUGGCCGAUAUCAGAUUAGCUAGUUGGUGAGGUAAAGGCUCACCAAGGCGACGAUCUGUAGCGGGUCUGAGAGGAUGAUCCGCCACACUGGGACUGAGACACGGCCCAGACUCCUACGGGAGGCAGCAGUGGGGAAUUUUGGACAAUGGGCGCAAGCCUGAUCCAGCCAUGCCGCGUGAGUGAAGAAGGCCUUCGGGUUGUAAAGCUCUUUCAGCCGGAAAGAAAUCAUGCUUACUAAUACUAAGUGUGGAUGACGGUACCGGAAGAAGAAGCACCGGCUAACUACGUGCCAGCAGCCGCGGUAAUACGUAGGGUGCGAGCGUUAAUCGGAAUUACUGGGCGUAAAGCGUGCGCAGGCGGUUUUUUAAGACAGACGUGAAAUCCCCGGGCUUAACCUGGGAACUGCGUUUGUGACUGGAAGGCUAGAGUACGGCAGAGGGGGGUAGAAUUCCA